GAUGAACGCUGGCGGCGUGCCUAACACAUGCAAGUCGAACGGAGGGCCGACGGGUGAGUAACCCGUGGGUAACCUGCCUCAUAGAGGGGGAUAACAGAGAGAAAUCACUGCUAAUACCGCAUACUAUGCGGUGGACCCGCGACGGCUUAGCCGGUUGGUAAGGUAAGGGCUUACCAAAGCAACGAUCAGUAGCCGAUCUGAGAGGAUGAACGCCCACUUGUGGACUAGGACACGGCCCAAACGCCUACGGGUGGCAGCAGUGGGGGAUGUUGCACAAUGGGGGGAACCCUGAUGCAGCGACGCCGCGUGAGUGAAGAAGUAUAUCGGUAUGUAAAGCUCUAGCAGCAGGGAAGCAGUACCUGAAUAAGAAGCCCCGGCUAACUACGUGCCAGCAGCCGCGGUAAUAC
rnacentral:rRNA from 1 species